rnacentral:rRNA from 1 species
UACGUAGGGUGCAAGCGUUAAUCGGAAUUACUGGGCGUAAAGCGUGCGCAGGCGGUUUUGUAAGUUUGUCGUGAAAUCCCCGGGCUCAACCUGGGAAUGGCGAUGAAGACUGCAAGGCUAGAAUCUGGCAGAGGGGGGUAGAAUUCCACGUGUAGCAGUGAAAUGCGUAGAUAUCUGGAGGAACACCGGUGGCGAAGGCGGCAUCCUGGACCAAUUCUGACGCUGAGGAGCGAAAGCCAGGGGAGCAAACGGG